UACGUAGGGGGCAAGCGUUGUUCGGAAUUACUGGGCGUAAAGGGCGCGUAGGCGGCACAGCAAGUCGGGAGUGAAAUCCCCGGGCUUAACCUGGGAACUGCAUUUGUGACUGCAUCGCUGGAGUGCGGCAGAGGGGGAUGGAAUUCCGCGUGUAGCAGUGAAAUGCGUAGAUAUGCGGAGGAACACCGAUGGCGAAGGCAAUCCCCUGGGCCUGCACUGACGCUCAUGCACGAAAGCGUGGGGAGCAAACAGG
rnacentral:rRNA from 1 species